GUUGACGUAGUCGACGGUGAGCCCGCCGGUCAGGUCGGCGGUGAGCGCGUCGGCCCGGAUCCAGCCGUUGGCG
rnacentral:tRNA from 1 species